rnacentral:rRNA from 1 species
UACAGAGGUCUCAAGCGUUGUUCGGAUUCAUUGGGCGUAAAGGGUGCGUAGGUGGCGCCGUAAGUCAGGUGUGAAAUCCCCCGGGCUUAACCUGGGAAUGCGCUUGUAACUGGCAAGCUUGAGUUGUGGCAGAGGGGGGGUGGAAUUCCGACGUGUAGCAGUGAAAUGCGUAGAGAUGUGGAGGAACACCGAUGGCGAAGGCAGCCCCCCUGGGCUAACACUGACGCUCAUGCACGAAAGCGUGGGGAGCAAACAGG